CAGGUGUGGAAUUUUCCACUUCUGGGGUCAAAUUGGUGCUCAAAAGUUUUGGAGUUUGAGCAUUUUGGAAUUCAGAUGUUUAGAUUCGGAAUGCACAACUUGUGCUGUAAUGAUGAUUUCUAAAUUAUUUAUAACUCUAGUAUAAAGGUUAAAAAACAAAGAAUAUUAAAAGUCAUUGUUGAGAGACAAAAUGAGAUCAUGUCUGGGAAAAUACUUCUAAAUUAUCAACUCCCUUUCUAUGGAAGAGGAUGACCAAAGAAGGAUGCACUCCUUGUCUGGAAUUAUGCCAGAGGUCUUAAAAUGCUCAGAAAUGAAAUCAGCCUUCUUCCCUGUCCUAAGAGGCUCAGGUUUUCGGCAAGUAACUCAUAAAAUUAAUGCUCCACUGAAAAUAAAAUCUGAUUUGAGUAGUAUCAGCACUUAGAAGACCUUUGGAGGCCGGGGGUAUUUUCUCUUUUACAAUGCUGUGAACAACAUUCACUCCUGGAAAACACUCCAAUGUCUUACAUCUUGAGGCUGUGGGGAUUUUUUUUUCUUUUGGUUUAAAUGUUGCCUUUCCUAUCUUUCUGCAUAUCAAUUUUUCCCCUGCCCAAGUCACAGGCUUGGUAGUAACCAUCAUGUUUACUGCUGUUCCUUCACAUGUGGUUCUCUGAGGCUUCUGAGCACCAGAAUUUUAUUAAACAGAGCUACUCACACCAUAAAGAUGGAAUUCUGCCAGAUCUGAAUCAUAGAAUAACACCAGAAUUGACUUCAGAAAUCAUCUUCUCUAAAGAUUUGCAAGAUUUUUAAACAGCACAUGCCUUUGUAAAAUGAAAUCAUCAGUGGAACACCGUAUAUAAAAUAAAAUUAAUAAAAACUACUAUGGCUGG
rnacentral:lncRNA from 1 species